GCUUAACACAUGCAAGUCGAGCGGUAAGGCCCUUCGGGGUACACGAGCGGCGAACGGGUGAGUAACACGUGGGUGAUCUGCCUCGCACUCUGGGAUAAGCCUGGGAAACUGGGUCUAAUACCGGAUAUGACCACUGAUCGCAUGGUUGGUGGUGGAAAGAUUUAUCGGUGCGAGAUGGGCCCGCGGCCUAUCAGCUUGUUGGUGGGGUAAUGGCCUACCAAGGCGACGACGGGUAGCCGACCUGAGAGGGUGACCGGCCACACUGGGACUGAGACACGGCCCAGACUCCUACGGGAGGCAGCAGUGGGGAAUAUUGCACAAUGGGCGGAAGCCUGAUGCAGCGACGCCGCGUGAGGGAUGACGGCCUUCGGGUUGUAAACCUCUUUCGACAGGGACGAAGCGCAAGUGACGGUACCUGUAGAAGAAGCACCGGCCAACUACGUGCCAGCAGCCGCGGUAAUACGUAGGGUGCGAGCGUUGUCCGGAAUUACUGGGCGUAAAGAGCUUGUAGGCGGUUCGUCGCGUCGAUUGUGAAAACUUGCAGCUCAACUGCAAGCUUGCAGUCGAUACGGGCGGACUAGAGUACUUCAGGGGAGACUGGAAUUC
rnacentral:rRNA from 1 species